rnacentral:rRNA from 1 species
UACGUAGGGUGCGAGCGUUGUCCGGAAUUAUUGGGCGUAAAGAGCUCGUAGGCGGUUUGUCGCGUCGGAUGUGAAAGCCCGGGGCUUAACUCCGGGUCUGCAUUCGAUACGGGCAGGCUAGAGUUCGGUAGGGGAGAUCGGAAUUCCUGGUGUAGCGGUGAAAUGCGCAGAUAUCAGGAGGAACACCGGUGGCGAAGGCGGGUCUCUGGGCAGUAACUGACGCUGAGGAGCGAAAGCGUGGGGAGCGAACAGG